GGUUGCGGUGGAGCUCGGCUGCCCACCUGAGUAAAACCACCACAGUCCUUUCUGGCGCCCAAUGUGGGGCCAAACGUGAGCCCGCCGGAUCGCUUGAGCCCAGGAGUUCUGGGCUGCAGUGCGCUAUGCCGAACGGGCGUCCGCGCUAAGGCCGGCAUCAAUAUGGUGAGCCCCAGGGAGCCGGGGCACACCAGGUUGCCUAAGGAGGGGUGAACCCGCCCAGGUCGGAAACAGAGCAGGUCAAAAUUCCCAUGCCGGUCAUUAGCGGGAUCGCGCCUGUGAAUAGCCACUGCAACGUAGCCUGGGCAACACAGAGAGACGCGAGCUCCU
rnacentral:SRP_RNA from 1 species